rnacentral:rRNA from 1 species
AUUGAACGCUGGCGGCAGGCCUAACACAUGCAAGUCGAGCGGAUGAAGGGAGCUUGCUCCUGGCUUCAGCGGCGGACGGGUGAGUAAUGCCUAGGAAUCUGCCUGGUAGUGGGGGAUAACGUCCGGACACGGGCGCUAAUACCGCAUACGUCCUGAGGGAGAAAGUGGGGGUUCUUCGGACCUCACGCUAUCAGAUGAGCCUAGGUCGGAUUAGCUAGUUGGUGGGGUAAAGGCCUACCAAGGCGACGAUCCGUAACUGGUCUGAGAGGAUGAUCAGUCACACUGGAACUGAGACACGGUCCAGACUCCUACGGGAGGCAGCAGUGGGGAAUAUUGGACAAUGGGCGAAAGCCUGAUCCAGCCAUGCCGCGUGUGUGAAGAAGGUCUUCGGAUUGUAAAGCACUUUAAGUUGGGAGGAAGGGCAGUAAGUUAAUACCUUGCUGUUUUGACGUUACCAACAGAAUAAGCACCGGCUAACUUCGUG